rnacentral:piRNA from 1 species
CCCAGGCUUUGCUGAAGUUGUAUAUCCA